UUUACUCUGACGGCGGCAGAUCUCCAAGAGGGCGGAGCCUGGCCACCUCUCCGGCCCAGAUGAGGCGGUGUCACCCACACUAGCUGAACUGAAGCCUGGCUGGAACCAUGCCCUGCUGUCUCCUUGCUCUUCUCCUGGGCACUUUCUUAGGUGUCAGAGCUCAGACCAUCCAUCAAAGUCCACCUACCGUGGUGCAGCCUAUGGGCAGCUCACUCUCCCUGGAGUGCACCGUGAAGGGGACAUCAAACCCCAGACUGUACUGGUACCGGCAGGCGGCAGGAGGGGCUCUCCAGCUGCUCUUCUACUCCUUUAGUGCUGACCGGGUAGAAUCUGAGGAGCCCCAGAACUUCGAAGCCUCCAUAUCCCAGGAUGGCCCGUUCAUCCUGAGUUCUAAGAAGCUCCUGCUCAAUAACUCUGGCUUCUACCUCUGCGCUUGGAGCCUCACACUGAGCCGGCUGGGGCAGACAUCUGUGCAAAAACCCCACCCUCUCCGGAGUCCUCGCUGCCCUCUCCAGGAGCCCUGGCUCAGGGGCUGGGUGAGGGAUGACUGUCAUCGGGUUUCUGACUGUCAGCCAAUGUGAGGGCAACUGAAUCAAGCCAGGGUCUCCAAAAGAACUUUACUAAGCUCUCAGGAAGAACAAAAAAGAUGUAUGCGUAGAAUCUGUAUUGCAUACACACAGUCAGGCUCCCAACGCGUGGAUGUCUAGUCCUAGGCUGUUGUACUUCAGCCCCCCAAGUGUGCUAUACCUGGUCUAACCCUUUCUCCCGCAUUCCUGUGGGUCUACACUGGGGAGUGAGGUUAUGCACAUGCUGGCGAGAAGGGCAGGGUGCCCCUGCAGGGGGAUGCGGUGGGGUGGUGGACUGGUGAGCAAAUAUGAGGACGCCAACCCGGGUUACUACAUUAGUUAAUAUUGAUCACCUGGAAAGUCUCCUGUCAUUGAUCUUUCUGCAGAAACUAGACAUCUCGUGGAGGUUUGGAUGAGGCUUUGAGCUAGGGAAGGGGCAAAGUGGGCUGUUCUCGUA